UACAGAGGUCUCAAGCGUUGUUCGGAUUUAUUGGGCGUAAAGGGUGCGUAGGCGGCGCGGUAAGUCGGGUGUGAAAUCUCGGAGCUUAACUUCGAAACUGCAUUCGAUACUGCCGUGCUUGAGGACUGGAGAGGAGAGUGGAAUUUACGGUGUAGCGGUGAAAUGCGUAGAUAUCGUAAGGAAGACCGGUGGCGAAGGCGGGUCUCUGGACAGUUCCUGACGCUGAGGCACGAAAGUCAGGGGAGCAAACGGG
rnacentral:rRNA from 1 species